UACGUAGGGUGCAAGCGUUGUCCGGAAUUAUUGGGCGUAAAGAGCUCGUAGGCGGUCUGUCGCGUCGGCUGUGAAAACUCGGGGCUCAACCCCGAGCCUGCAGCCGAUACGGGCAGACUAGAGUUCGGUAGGGGAGACUGGAAUUCCUGGUGUAGCGGUGAAAUGCGCAGAUAUCAGGAGGAACACCGGUGGCGAAGGCGGGUCUCUGGGCCGAUACUGACGCUGAGGAGCGAAAGCGUGGGGAGCGAACAGG
rnacentral:rRNA from 1 species